GUUUGAUCAUGGCUCAGAUUGAACGCUGGCGGCAGGCCUAACACAUGCAAGUCGAACGGUAACAGGAAGCAGCUUGCUGCCUCGCUGACGAGUGGCGGACGGGUGAGUAAUGUCUGGGAAGCUGCCUGAUGGAGGGGGAUAACUACUGGAAACGGUAGCUAAUACCGCAUAAUGUCGCAAGACCAAAGAGGGGGACCUUCGGGCCUCUUGCCAUCGGAUGUGCCCAGAUGGGAUUAGCUUGUUGGUGGGGUAACGGCUCACCAAGGCGACGAUCCCUAGCUGGUCUGAGAGGAUGACCAGCCACACUGGAACUGAGACACGGUCCAGACUCCUACGGGAGGCAGCAGUGGGGAAUAUUGCACAAUGGGCGCAAGCCUGAUGCAGCCAUGCCGCGUGUAUGAAGAAGGCCUUCGGGUUGUAAAGUACUUUCAGCGGGGAGGAAGGGAGUAAAGUUAAUACCUUGCUCAUUGACGUUACCCGCAGAAGAAGCACCGGCUAACUCCGUGCCAGCAGCCGCGGUAAUACGGAGGGUGCAAGCGUUAAUCGGAAUUACUGGGCGUAAAGCGCACGCAGGCGGUUUGUUAAGUCAGAUGUGAAAUCCCCGGGCUCAACCUGGGAACUGCAUCUGAUACUGGCAAGCUUGAGUCUCGUAGAGGGGGGUAGAAUUCCAGGUGUAGCGGUGAAAUGCGUAGAGAUCUGGAGGAAUACCGGUGGCGAAGGCGGCCCCCUGGACGAAGACUGACGCUCAGGUGCGAAAGCGUGGGGAGCAAACAGGAUUAGAUACCCUGGUAGUCCACGCCGUAAACGAUGUCGACUUGGAGGUUGUGCCCUUGAGGCGUGGCUUCCGGAGCUAACGCGUUAAGUCGACCGCCUGGGGAGUACGGCCGCAAGGUUAAAACUCAAAUGAAUUGACGGGGGCCCGCACAAGCGGUGGAGCAUGUGGUUUAAUUCGAUGCAACGCGAAGAACCUUACCUGGUCUUGACAUCCACGGAAGUUUUCAGAGAUGAGAAUGUGCCUUCGGGAACCGUGAGACAGGUGCUGCAUGGCUGUCGUCAGCUCGUGUUGUGAAAUGUUGGGUUAAGUCCCGCAACGAGCGCAACCCUUAUCCUUUGUUGCCAGCGGUCCGGCCGGGAACUCAAAGGAGACUGCCAGUGAUAAACUGGAGGAAGGUGGGGAUGACGUCAGGUCAUCAUGGCCCUUACGACCAGGGCUACACACGUGCUACAAUGGCGCAUACAAAGAGAAGCGACCUCGCGAGAGCAAGCGGACCUCAUAAAGUGCGUCGUAGUCCGGAUUGGAGUCUGCAACUCGACUCCAUGGAGUCGGAAUCGCUAGUAAUCGUGGAUCAGAAUGCCACGGUGAAUACGUUCCCGGGCCUUGUACACACCGCCCGUCACACCAUGGGAGUGGGUUGCAAAAGAAGUAGGUAGCUUAACCUUCGGGAGGGCGCUUACCACUUUGUGAUUCAUGACUGGGGUGAAGUCGUAACAAGGUAACCGUAGGGAACCUGCGGUUG
rnacentral:rRNA from 1 species